rnacentral:rRNA from 1 species
UACGUAGGGCGCAAGCGUUGUCCGGAAUCAUUGGGCGUAAAGAGCUCGUAGGUGGUCUGUUACGUCUGCUGUGAAAUCCUAGGGCUUAACCCUGGGCCUGCAGUGGAUACGGGCAGACUAGAGGUAGGUAGGGGAGAACGGAAUUCCUGGUGUAGCGGUGAAAUGCGCAGAUAUCAGGAGGAACACCGGUGGCGAAGGCGGUUCUCUGGGCAGAUACUGACGCUGAGACGCGAAAGCGUGGGUAGCAAACAGG